rnacentral:rRNA from 1 species
AGGUAGUACUAUAAAGCAAAACUACUUUAUAACGGCGGCGACAUUCCUCAUUAAAGGAGCUUUUAAAAUAACAGAAAAUACCCAAUAAUAUUUUACUUAAACUUAAAGCAUAUAUACCGCCGUCUAGAUCUAACAUUAAUGUAUAAUCUAGAAAUACACCCAUAAAAAGUCAGGUCCAGGUAUAACUAAUGUUUAAGCUUUAUGAGCUACAAUAACCACAAUUAUAUUUAAUGAAACUAAAAUAUAGAAUCUAACAGUACAAACCUGAUAAAAAGCCAUAUGAAACAAGAAAAACAAUCGUGC